AUUGAACGCUGGCGGCAUGCUUUACACAUGCAAGUCGAACGGCAGCGCGGGCUUCGGCCUGGCGGCGAGUGGCGAACGGGUGAGUAAUGCAUCGGAACGUGCCCAGUAGUGGGGGAUAGCCCGGCGAAAGCCGGAUUAAUACCGCAUACGACCUGAGGGUGAAAGCGGGGGACCGAAAGGCCUCGCGCUAUUGGAGCGGCCGAUGUCGGAUUAGCUAGUUGGUGGGGUAAAGGCUUACCAAGGCGACGAUCCGUAGCUGGUCUGAGAGGACGACCAGCCAAACUGGGAAUGAGACACGGCCCAGACUCAUACGGGAGGCAGCAGUGGGGAAUUUGGGAGAAUGGGGGCAAGCCUGAACAAGACAUGACGCGGGCGGGAAGAAGGCCUGAGGGUUGUAAACCGCGUUUGUGGGGGAAGAAAGCCUAUGGGCUAAUACCCCGGGGGGAUGACGGUACCGGAAGAAUAAGAAACGGCUAACUACGUG
rnacentral:rRNA from 1 species